rnacentral:rRNA from 1 species
GAUGAACGCUAGCGGCAGGCUUAAUACAUGCAAGUCGUGGGGCAGCAUGAAUGUAGCAAUACAUUUGAUGGCGACCGGCAAACGGGUGCGGAACACGUACACAGCCUUCCUAUAAGUGGGGAAUAGCCCAGAGAAAUUUGGAUUAAUACCCCGUAACAUAUAGAGGUGGCAUCAUCUUUAUAUUAUAGCUACGGCGCUUAUUGAUGGGUGUGCGGCUGAUUAGAUAGUCGGCGGGGUAACGGCCCACCAAGUCUACGAUCAGUAGCUGAUGUGAGAGCAUGAUCAGCCACACGGGCACUGAGACACGGGCCCGACUCCUACGGGAGGCAGCAGUAAGGAAUAUUGGUCAAUGGACGCAAGUCUGAACCAGCCAUGCCGCGUGAAGGAUUAAGGUCCUCUGGAUUGUAAACUUCUUUUAUCUGGGACGAAAAAAGGCGAUUCUUCGUCACUUGACGGUACCAGAUGAAUAAGCACCGGCUAACUCCGUGCCAGCAGCCGCCGCCGUAA